AGUUCAUUUAAAUGACCCGCCACGCUUCGUUUGGAACUAUUCGGCGGCUACAUGAAUCACGCGACCCUCUCGCGUUCUGACCCCUCAUUGACGCAACUCUCUCUUUCUAGGGCUCUGGAGCUGCCUCCCCGGCACCUUCAAGCCACUCCCCCGGCUUGGACGCGCCGGAAACAUCCGAGCGCUCGGCUCGCGCUUUGAGGAGACGAGCGCUGCGCUGCACCAGGUGUUUGCCAUCAUCUAUCAGGUACACCUGCGGCAGUCAGGCAGCCUCCCACCAGAAGCCUCCCAGGGCUUCGACGUACUGAGCCCUGCGACCCUCCCUCCGCGACUUCCACUGCUCCCUUCGUCUCCCUCGCUCCUCAUCUCCAGUGACCUUCACGUUUUCCCCGGACCUCUCCAGCGAUCUCCCUCCGCAUCUCUCUCCCUGGACCCCUCCCUUCGGACUUGACUUCCUGGAUCUCGGACCCGGACUUCCUCGGACAACCCCUUGCUCUACGGAUUCGGACUUUGCACAGUGUCCAGAGCAUGGAGGAGGUACCAGGAGACAGGCCAGUACACCAGGAGACGUGAAGGG